UACGUAGGUGGCAAGCGUUGUCCGGAUUUACUGGGCGUAAAGAGCGCGCAGGCGGUCGUGCAAGUCGCGUGUGAAAGCCCCCGGCUCAACUGGGGAGGGUCACGCGAUACUGAUCGACUCGAAGGCAGGAGAGGGUAGUGGAAUUCCCGGUGUAGUGGUGAAAUGCGGUAGAUAUCGGGAGGAACACCAGUGGCGAAGGCGACUACCUGGCCUGUUCUUGACGCUGAGGCGCGAAAGCUAGGGGAGCAAACG
rnacentral:rRNA from 1 species